UACGAAGGGGCUAGCGUUGCUCGGAAUCACUGGGCGUAAAGGGUGCGUAGGCGGGUCUUUAAGUCAGGGUGAAAUCCUGGAGCUCAACUCCAGAACUGCCUUUGAUACUGAAGAUCUUGAGUUCGGGAGAGGUGAGUGGAACUGCGAGUGUAGAGGUGAAAUUCGUAGAUAUUCGCAAGAACACCAGUGGCGAAGGCGGCUCACUGGCCCGAUACUGACGCUGAGGCACGAAAGCGUGGGGAGCA
rnacentral:rRNA from 1 species